rnacentral:rRNA from 1 species
AAUAAAUGCUAUUGGUAUGCUUAACACAUGCAAGUCGAGCGGGGUUUUCGGACCUAGCGGCGGACGGGUGAGUAAUGCGUAGGAAGCUGCCCGAUAGAGGGGGAUACCAGUUGGAAACGACUGUUAAUACCGCAUAAUGUCUACGGACCAAAGUGUGGGACCUUCGGGCCACAUGCUAUCGGAUGCGCCUACGUGGGAUUAGCUAGUUGGUGAGGUAAUGGCUCACCAAGGCGACGAUCUCUAGCUGGUUUGAGAGGAUGAUCAGCCACACUGGAACUGAGACACGGUCCAGACUCCUACGGGAGGCAGCAGUGGGGAAUAUUGGACAAUGGGCGCAAGCCUGAUCCAGCCAUGCCGCGUGUGUGAAGAAGGCCUUCGGGUUGUAAAGCACUUUCAGCGAGGAGGAAGGGUGAUGUGUUAAUAGCACAUCAUUUUGACGUUACUCGCAGAAGAAGCACCGGCUAACUCUGUGCCAGCAGCCGCCGUAAAAC